rnacentral:rRNA from 1 species
AUGGCGGUAACUCUUUGGUCCAUAUGGCAUGCCCGGCGGAAAGCUAUCCAUGAAGCAAUAUUCCUGAGCCCUCAAGCAACCCAUGGCUUCAUCGAGAGGUAUUUGCAAGAUCUGAAUACAGCUCAGAACCAAAACAUGAUUGGCACGGUGCCACGGCCAGUUCAUGCAAUACCAAAAAACCCACCUCCUGGGCACCACAAGAUCCACUUUGAUGCGGCUGUCCACGUGAGGAGAGGUGGUUCAGCGGUGGCUGUAUGUAGAGAUGAAGGGGGCAAUUACAUUGGAAGCUCGGCCCUUGCAGUCGAGGGAGUUUAUGAUCCCCCAACAUUGGAGGCAAUAGCAUGUCGGGAAGCUUUGGCCCUGGCGGAGGAUCUGGGCAUUCAUCACUUCAUCGUGGCAUCGGACUGUCAACAAGUCAUGCUAGACAUCAACAGAAGGGCGCGCGGGGCUUAUGGCGCCGUCAUCAACGAGAUCAACACCCAAGCUUCUACUUUUUUGUGUAAUUUUUCUUUUGAAAGCCGUGCUGUUAAUUAUGAAGCACAUCGUUUAGCAAAAUUUGCACUAUCUAGAGGUCCGGGUCGCCAUGUCUGGUAUGGUGUUCCCCAUGACCAAGUGUGUAUCCCACUUCAUGUGGAGUUUGAUGAAUAA